AUCAGAGCAAAAAUCAAGCCAUGAGGUCAAAGGAACUGCCUGUAGAGCUUGAAGCAGGACUGUUGCAAGGCACGGACCCAGAGAACGCUACAGCAGGUGGAAACCAGAGGGCAUCUACAGACUACAUGUAAAACCUGCUUACCUCCGAUUUACCCAGUAUUUCAUUGAGAACUGGGAUUUUAAGCAGUGAUUGGCAGCACACCUCAGAAAAUAGUGAAACACUGGCAGG